AAGAGACCGGACGGGCUCAGACCCAGUGACGACAAGCCAGACCACUUCGCUCUCGGGCGAGACCGUCGCAUCCUUCCCAGCGAAACAUCUCCGACAAAAUCACCGCCGGAGGGAGAAGAAGUUUUAUCCGGUGCUUCUACUACCUCUCGAUGUAGACGAUUCCUAUUUUCCAUCCUCGACGUUCUUUCUCUCAUUCACGGAGUUGCUCCACAGCUAUUUCGGCUUGGGUUUAUAAUUUGUCCGCUCACUUGUUCGAUGUAAUUCCUCUGACAGAAUCGUGCUCUUUUGGCCAACAGAUGGGAUGCACUCUACCUGAAAAGGCCGGGUUUUGCAGGCGGCGCUAUCUGCUCGACAAAACUGUCGAGAUAUACAUCUGGGGUUUUUGGCCAGCAGAUGGAAUGGGCGCUCCACCGAACUAUCGGGUAUUCUAGGUUAAGGCGUCCGUUGCUGUCUUAUUCCAGGUUACAGAUUGUUCUAUUCUGCUCAAUUGGAACUCUAAACCGCAAUCAUAAGCCCAAAGUUGACAAUGUUCUCUCGAGCUUGUUUGGGAGACCAAAACCCUCCUUUGCCGAGUCUUAUUUAAGGCUCACAACUGCUUUGCAGUCCGGUAGAUGGUCCAAGGAAGUGGAAAUGGAGCUUCAGAGCAUCGAUAUUGUUUUGAAUAACUACGCAGUCAAUCAGGUACUCAAGGGUUUACCGAACUCUGAAAUUGGCUUCCACUUUUUUCUAUGGGCUGAAGCUCAGCCGGGUUUCAAGCAUGACCACUUCACCACUAAGUCAAUGAUCUGUUUACUUCUGGAAGAUCAAAGCUUUGAUCUUCUGGCUGUUAUUCUGAGAAAGUUACGUGAUGAUGGGUUCACGCUGCACCGUUCUAUAUACAGAAUACUUAUAUCUGGGUAUGUCAAAUGUGGUUUGCUAAGCUUUGCUUUUGAAGCAUUUGAUGAUAUGAUUGUCUCCGAUUGUCGCGUAUUUAGUGUAGAUUACAAUAAGUUCAUAGGUGUGUUGAUUAAAAACAGCUGUUUUGAUUUAGCUGAGAAAUACUACAAUGAGAUGAUCCAAGAAGGAUUUACACUGAGCUCAUUUACCUAUUCAAAAUUCAUUUCUUACUUAUGUAAGGCUGGGAAUCUUCAAUUCGUGGAAAAACUUUUACUGGACACUGAUAAGAAUGGGUGUGUGCCAUACAUUUGGGCUUAUAAUAUAUACUUGAAGUCUUUAUGUAAAGAGAAAAGAUUGGAUGAUGCUGUGAACUUCUUGGAGACUAUGUUUAAGCAAGGAAGAAAACCUGAUCUUGUUAGUUAUACAACAAUUAUCACUGGCUUAUGUGAUACCAAAAGAUUCACCGCUGCGGUGGAAAUUUGGGAUGAAAUGCAGAGAAGUGGCUUUAAGCCGGAUGUUAUCGCCUGCGGUUCAUUAAUUUUUGGUUUGUGUCGUUUUGGGAAAGUUGAUGUUGCUUAUGAAAUACUGAUGGAAGUCAUCAAGAAUAAGUGUGAGUUGAGUGUUUCAAUUUACAAUGCUGUUGUCAAUGGGUUUUGCGUAGCCGGCAGAGUUGAUAAAGCAAAAGCAAUCAUGUCCUUGAUGAGAAGAAACGGGUGCAAACCUGAUCUGGUUACAUGCAACAUACUUUUGAAUUAUUGGUGUAACAAUGGAAUGCUUGAUGAAUCAGAGAAAUUGAUCCAAUCUAUGGAAAAUUCAGGGAUUAAUCCUGAUAGCUACAGUUACAAUCAACUACUGAAAGGUCUUUGCAAGGCUAAACAGAUUGAAAAAGCUUAUAAGUUGUUUGCUAAUAUGAUGGAGAUGGAAGGUCUGUGUGAUAUUGUAUCUUGCAACGUCCUAAUUGAUGGUCUCUGCAGAGCCAGAAAGACAUCAAUUGCACACAAGCUGUUCAAGGGAAUGAGUCUUAAGGGGAUACAACCAGAUACAGUAACAUAUGGCACUCUGAUUAAUGGGUUUUUGAUAGCUGGAAAUGUUGAAUUUGCAGAGGAGCUUUUCGAUCAGAUGUUCAAGGUUGGCGUAGUCCCCAAUGCUAAUGCAUACUGCAUUAUGGUACACCACUAUUGUAAGACUGGCCGAAUUGGACUUGCCUGCAGUUACUUCGAUGAUAUUAUUAAAGGGGGGAUCUCUCCUGAUGUAGUUUCAUACAGUGCACUUGUCAAUGGACUUCUCAGAGCUCACAGAGUUAAUGAGGCCAUGGCUCUUUAUGAAGAUAUGUGGAGCAGGGGUGUAAUUCCUGAUGAUGUCACUUACAAGUUGCUUAUUGGUGGACUUCUAAUGGAAGAUAAGGUUGCUCUGGCCCAUAUGAUUUGGGAUGAUAUGAUGGAGAAGGGCUUUACUCUUGACAAGACAAUUUCUGAAAGAUUGAUAGAAGUGACAAAGUUGAAGGAGUCAUCUACCAAUGAUCACAAAGAAGCAUUUAGCAGGUCAAAAGUCGACCUUAGAAAAAGCAAGCAACUUUAUGAGAAACAGGGUUCAUGAAGACGAGUCAGCCUCAUCCACAGCAGGAUUAUUAUUUUUCUUUAGUUUGAAGCUGAAGGAUCUCAAGGAAAGAAUAUGGAUGAUCCUUAUUAUGGUCUAAACUCCUCUUCAACACUCAACUCUUAGAUAAUGAUGCUCUUUGUGGACAUCCUUCCAUAGUUGCUUGCUAGUGAUUAGAGUGGGAUGAUGGGGCCUAGGAUUACUGAUGUGAUCAAUUGGUGGAUGA